UACGGAGGAUCCAAGCGUUAUCCGGAUUUAUUGGGUUUAAAGGGUGCGUAGGCGGCCUAUUAAGUCAGGGGUGAAAGACGGUAGCUUAACUAUCGCAGUGCCUUUGAUACUGAUGGGCUUGAAUGUACUUGAGGUAGGCGGAAUGUGACAAGUAGCGGUGAAAUGCUUAGAUAUGACAUAGAACACCAAUUGCGAAGGCAGCUUACUACACAACGAUUGACGCUGAGGCACGAAAGCGUGGGGAUCAAACAGG
rnacentral:rRNA from 1 species